rnacentral:misc_RNA from 1 species
GAUGAAGAACGUAGCGAAAUGCGAUACUUGGUGUGAAUUGCAGAAUCCCGUGAAUCAUCGAAUCUUUGAACGCACAUUGCGCCCGCCAGCAUUCUGGCGGGCAUGCCUGUUCGAGCGUCAUUUCAACCCUCGACCUCCCCUUGGGGAGGUCGGCGUUGGGGACCGGCAGCACACCGCCGGCCCUGAAAUGGAGUGGCGGCCCGUCUGCGGCGACCUCUGCGUAGUAAUACAGCUCGCACCGGAACCCCGACGCGGCCACGCCGUAAAACACCCAACUUCUGAACGUUGACCUCGAAUCAGGUAGGACUACCCGCUGAACUUAAGCAUAUCAAUAAGCGGAGGA